GGCCGGGUGGAGGAAUUGGUAGACUCGCCAUCUUGAGGGGUGGUGUCGCAAGACGUAUGGGUUCGAGUCCCAUUCCGGUCA
rnacentral:tRNA from 1 species